rnacentral:rRNA from 1 species
AGUGAACGCUGGCGGUAGGCCUAACACAUGCAAGUCGAACGGCAGCACAGUAAGAGCUUGCUCUUACGGGUGGCGAGUGGCGGACGGGUGAGGAAUACAUCGGAAUCUACUUUUUCGUGGGGGAUAACGUAGGGAAACUUACGCUAAUACCGCAUACGACCUACGGGUGAAAGCAGGGGAUCUUCGGACCUUGCGCGAUUGAAUGAGCCGAUGUCGGAUUAGCUAGUUGGCGGGGUAAGGGCCCACCAAGGCGACGAUCCGUAGCUGGUCUGAGAGGAUGAUCAGCCACACUGGAACUGAGACACGGUCCAGACUCCUACGGGAGGCAGCAGUGGGGAACAUUGGACAAUGGGCGCAAGCCUGAUCCAGCCAUACCGCGUGGGUGAAGAAGGCCUUCGGGUUGUAAAGCCCUUUUGUUGGGAAAGAAAAGCAGCAGGUUAAUACCCCGCUGUUCUGACGGUACCCAAAGAAUAAGCACCGGCUAACUUCGUG